UACCUCAAAAAACCACAACAGUCUGUUUCAUCCGUAUAGGAAUCAUAGGUGGUCUGAUGAUUCCUAUACAGAUGAAACAGACUGUUGUGGUUUUU